UGGAAUUCCAUCCCAGAUGAGCA
rnacentral:piRNA from 1 species